UACGGAGGGUGCAAGCAUUAAUCGGAAUUAUUGGACGUAAAGGGCGCGUAGGCGGGUAAGUAAGUCAGAUGUGAAAUUCCGGGACUCAAUUCCGGAGCUGCAUUUGAAACUGCUUGUCUUGAGGAUUGGCGGAGAGAACGGAAUUCCACGUGUAGCGGUGAAAUGCGUAGAUAUGUGGAAGAACACCGGUGGCGAAAGCGGUUCUCUAGCUAAUAACUGACGCUGAGGCGCGAGAGCAAGGGGAUCAAACAGG
rnacentral:rRNA from 1 species